rnacentral:rRNA from 1 species
AACGCGUGAGAAUCUGGCUUCAGGUCUGGGACAACCACUGGAAACGGUGGCUAAUACCGGAUGUGCCGAGAGGUGAAAGGUUAACUGCCUGAAGAUGAGCUCGCGUCUGAUUAGCUAGUUGGAAGUGUAAUGGACUCCCAAGGCGACGAUCAGUAGCUGGUCUGAGAGGACGAUCAGCCACACUGGGACUGAGACACGGCCCAGACUCCUACGGGAGGCAGCAGUGGGGAAUUUUCCGCAAUGGGCGAAAGCCUGACGGAGCAAUACCGCGUGAGGGAGGAAGGCUCUUGGGUCGUAAACCUCUUUUCUCAGGGAAGAACACAAUGACGGUACCUGAGGAAUAAGCAUCGGCUAACUCCGUGCCAGCAGCCGCGGUAAUACGGAGGAUGCAAGCGUUAUCCGGAAUGAUUGGGCGUAAAGCGUCCGCAGGUGGCUAUGUAAGUCUGCUGUUAAAGAGUCUAGCUCAACUAGAUAAGAGCAGUGGAAACUACAAGGCUAGAGUACGUUCGGGGCAGAGGGAAUUCCUGGUGUAGCGGUGAAAUGCGUAGAGAUCAGGAAGAACACCGGUGGCGAAGGCGCUCUGCUAGGCCGUAACUGACACUGAGGGACGAAAGCUAGGGGAGCGAAUGGGAUU